AACGAACGCUGGCGGCAUGCCUAACACAUGCAAGUCGAACGAGACGCUCGGGUCUUGUGGCGCACGGGUGCGUAACGCGUGGGAACCUGCCCUUUGGUUCGGAAAAACCCCCCGAAAGGGGGGCUAAAACCGGUUAAUCUCUGCGGACCAAUGGUCUCGCGCGUUUGGGUGGGCCGGCGUUGGUUUAGCUAGUUGGUAAGGUAAAGGCCUACUAAGGGGUGGGCGCAUAGCUGGUCUGAGAGGAUGAGCAGCCACACUGGGACUGAGACGCAGCGCAGACUCCUACGGGAGGCAGCAGUGGGGGAUAUUGGAAAGUGGGCGAAGGCCUGAUGCAGCAAUGACGGGUGAGUGAUGAAGGCCGUGGGGUUGUAAGGCUCUUUUACCCGGGAUGAUAAUGACGGUACCGGGAGAGUAAGCCCCGGCUAACUCUGUG
rnacentral:rRNA from 1 species